CUGAAGUUUUUCUUCGGUUAUCUGAGAAAAAUACUGUUCGUAUAUUUUUCGAUGAAUGUUAAUCGGAUAAUCGGGACUUUUUUGACUGUUUGAGGCUCCGAUCAUGUAUUAGUAGAUGUUUUGGGUGAUUUUCCGAUAUCUCUGGUCUUAUCCCGGUGAGUUCUUCAUAUUCUAGGGUUUUCCGACUUUCGGACCAGGGGUUUUGAUGCUAUCCGAUGACUUUGCUUUCUGUCGAUAGACUUCUUAGGUAAGCUUCCGACGUCUGUGACCUUAUUUUGGUGAGUUUCCGUUUAACUGCAAUCUCCGGUGACCGGACU
rnacentral:lncRNA from 1 species